CACUAGGUUCAACGAUUUCAAGGGCAAAAGACGAUUCUAUAGUUGGUACCACCAGGGCAUGUAACAGUUUUAACAUCAUUGGGUUGAUGAUAAGCAUCAGGGCAAUUAGAAUCCCUGCAGGUUAGUACUUUGUUGCAUCCAUUAGAAGUUGAACUAAAUUCCAUUGGAAUGUUGAAACCGUCAAUCACGGAUAUAUCAAAGUAAUCCAAAUUGUUUCCACCGUUAAGUGUGUAUUCGGCAAGUGUGGUCGGAGGUCUACCGGAUACGCUGCAACUGAGGGCUCCACCACAAUCACCGGUUUGACAACUACCACGGCCUGAACCGUCAAAUCUGCAACCGGUUCGGCCCCAAAUUCUGGCAGCUGAGGUUCCAGCUGGGACGUCUAGGGCCCAUGUUUGGCCCGAGGUCAACUGCCGACCGCCACCCCUGGGAAUGCCUGCUGGCCACACGGUGUAGGAGCAUCGGUUUACUAUGUCGAACCUUGCUGCUUGUGUAGAUAUUAAACAGAGAGCAAAUAUAGAAAAUAAUAAUAUUUUUAUGAGAGACAUUUUUUUGUGGAACAAAACAAUUAAUUCACAAUAUGAGAACCCAAGAGAAGAGAUUGUGUUUUGUGAGUUUGAAAGUGAGAAUUGAGCCUUAGUUUUAUAUAGGCAACGUACAGGACCUUAAUUAAUAAUUAUGAAACUGAGAUGCCGUAUGUGGAAAAUUAAAUUGAAAAAUGUAGUUAUUUCAUAUUCUUUUGCCAAACUGCAGAAGUAAUUGACUAUUAUUUACACGCCAUGUAUAUAUAUAUCAACAAUAGCAGCUUUGAUGAUAUAAACAAGGAAAGCUCUGUAGAAUUUUCUUCUGUUUUAGUAUUAAUUAAUCCUUCGGUUGUUUUAUUCAACAUUUCUAACUAGUACCUACGUGUAAGUUAAUUACUAUUAGGAGUUCCAGUUUCGUCUCUAAAUUAAAUUUAAGUGCUACUCCCUCCAAUUUUGGUGGGCAUGCGGGUUAUAGGCCUGUUGGGACUCCCGGUGAUUUGGAUAAUGGGACUUCUCUAGGUGCAGCCACGACCAGACUGCUCCAAUUUUUCAAGAAUUUCUUACUACGACAUGACAGCUCCAAUCAGUUAAGAAUUUUUUAAGAUUUGAUGCGAGUUUAGAGGGGAGGGAACAGGAAAAUUUUGGAGGUUGAAAAUAUAGGAGAAAAUUGUAAAAUCUUUCACAUUUUUUUGAGAACGGAAAAUUAAUAUUUAUGAUUAAAAGAUUUUUAAACAUAAAUUAAAUUUAAAGAAUUCAUAUAAACUCUCUAAAAUCUUUCAAAACUCUAUUAAAAAAGAGAAGGGUUGUAUAUUAUGAAGAAAAAUUAACCUCAAAGUCUUCCUCUUUCAAUGUUAUCUGCUUCUUCCAUUUGCUCAUUCAUUUUUUUUUUUCAAACCUCUCAUCUCCCUUCCCUUCCAAACUCGCAAACAAAACAUAAAGUGUUUGGAUUAUAAAAUCCAAAACAUCGUUUUGGAGUUUCAGAUUAUAGAAACUGAAAGCUUCCGGAACACAUACCAAUAAUUUUUUCAAUAAAUUAGACACUAAACCUCAGCAACAAAAAAUAAUGUAUUUUACUAGUUCGACAUAUGCGAUCCAAAAAAUAUUUUACUUCUUGUAUUAUAAAAAUCGAAUUGUCUCAAACCCCAUUGCGGCCAAUUUUAACCACACUUGACCAUAUUUAUAUAAUUCAUAUUCUAAAAUACCGAACAUGUAAAAUAUGUGUUGACUUGUAAAAUUCGAAAUAUAUCAGCAUAGAGAGAACACAAUAUAAACAAAACAUAAUGGUUAACACAAACUUCAUGCUUAUUUGCAACGCGCAUAUUAGCAACACACGUAAAAAUAUAAUCAAAACAUAAUACAUCAAAAUAUCCACAAAAAAAAUAUAAAAUAUCCACAAUACAAAUAAGUAAACCCUACUGGAUAGCAAACCCCAAGCACCUCUUCCUCUCUGACGAUGCACCUUGAGUUUAUGGAUCAUCUUAAUUAUACCAUGGUUAGGCGCUUCACUUAAUUGAAUCAUCACAUUGAAUUAAAAACAAUCAUUCAAGUGAGAUGAAUAUCACAUCUUCUUUUAAAAUCUUAAGAUAUUCAGUUUUUUAAUCUUCUCACUUAUAUUUUGUUCAACUUUUUCAUUCAAUAUAAGACUUUAAGUCUUUAACUCAUACCAGAGAUAUCAAUGUCUAAGUACUUUUUAUCUUAUAUCAAUUACUUAUUUUUUUUUCAAUUAUAUUCAAAUUUUUCUUUAUAAUGGAGGGAGCUUAUCCCAAACAUCGGAAGUAAACAGACCAAAACAAUGUUAUGGUGAAAAUUAGUAAGACCAUUUAUUCCAUAUAUUGCAUUCUUGAGAAAUUACUAUCAGGUGUAAAUUAAGCAAUAUAUGUUGUUUUUACAUUAAAGAUCGGACACAAAAGGACAGACAUAGUAAUAGUUUUUUUUUUUUUUUUUUCCGUCAUGUUGAUUAGUGUUUUUGAAGGAUUUGUUAAAGAAACAAAUUUAGAGGAUUUGUAAAAUUUCGUAAAAUUCUGAAUAAAUUUUGAUUUAUUUUGAUUUUUCGACCAAAACGUGUAAAAUCAUAAUAAAAAGCAGCAAAAUUAACGGCAGUUAACUGCCGGCGCAUAUGUCAGAGGCAGUUAACUACCGUUGUAGAUAAUUUGGUCAUUUACUUGUGUCAAUAGGAAGUAUUCUAUGUCAAAAAAACAAUUUUCGCUCUAGAAUAUGUUGACCUCCGUCGACUAAUUAUGUAAUGUUGGAAAAUUCUUUUUUCCUAUCAUUAGGUUUUGGGGAGACUAGACAUUUGCUUGCUUCUUUUUUCUUUUUCUCAACAAUAAAUAUUGAUAGGCCUCGUGCAUCUAGAAACACAAGUCUCGAAAUUAGAGUUUCUUUUUGACAAACUCUCUAAAUUAGAGUUGUUUUAAGAUUUUUAGUGUCAUACAGAAAUAAAUUUAUUUUUAAUCAUUUUUAUAUAUUUCUUUUUUGUAAAAGAUUCAUUCAAAUAUAUGAUUCUAUAAAAAACUAUUUUAAAUAAAAUAAUCAAAAUGAGUUUAUAUAUAUAUAUAUAUAUAUAUAUAUAAUACAACUUGCUACUCCUAAAAAAAACAAUACAACUUGCUACUAAAUGAAAAUAAUAAUUUGUACGCCCUUAAAAAUAUGAUACCCUAAACAGCCACCUGUGUCGUCCAUGCUUAGAGCAUCCACAAUAGUGAGUUAUUCACCAUUUAAGAUCUAGUACCUAAUAGGUACUUCCAUCGUGGGAAAAAUUUGGAGGUCUUCUAAGACCCAAGGUCUAACUUAAGAUCCCAUCUUUUAGUGGUCCCUGCACACUUUUUUUAUUAAAAUAAUAUGUUAGUGGUGGAAUGUAAAUGAGGAAAAGUUGGUUGUAGGACCCAUUUAGACUUUUUGCCAAAGGAUCUAUAUUGCAGUGAAUGAGUACCUAUUAGGUACUGUUAUUAAAAAAUAAAAAUAAAAAAUAAUAUGUACAGGUGUAACCCGUUUAAGACCAUUCAAUUGAGAGUCUCCAUUGUGGAUGCUCUUAAGAUCACUCCUCCUUCAAAUCUCACAUGGUGGACAACGGGGAGUGGGGAGCAACCGUGCCCCUUUAAGAUCCAUAAACCUAUAACAUGUUCUUAUGCUUAAGUAAAAUUCAUCUCAUAGAUAUUGAAAAAUCACAAAAUAUGAAAAUAAACAUAUUUCCAUCUAAGUUCUAACAUGUCAAUAGUCUUUCCAUCUUUUAUUCAAAAAAAAAACUCUUUUCAUCUCGUAAUGACUAUCAUUUUGAUUUUUCACAAAGAAUAAAAUUUGAAAUAUAUAAAAGAGUGGUAAUUUUACAUAAUUACUAUGUAGAAUCGUUUGAUUUAUGUAGCCGACCAUACAUAGGAUAAAGUUUGGUUGUUAUUAUUGACUUAUUAGAUUUAACCUUUUUUUUUAUUGAAGAAGUCAAACUAGGUAGCAAAAUAUACAUUGAAAUGAAUCAAACAUAAAACCUUAAUAGAAACAAAUUCAAAAUUGUCGAUUCAAUACCACUAAAUCAACUCAAAUGGAUUAACUAUUAUGUUGUUAACUGUUACUUGAUUCCUUUUCUUUUUUUUGUGGUGGCCGAGGUUUGAACCCCGGACCUUGCAUAUUUUAUAUAUUGACCAUACCAACUGAGCUAAGUUCACAAAUACAGAUACUUUAUUCCUUGGUACAAGGUUAACUAUUAUUAAAUGGAUAGUAAAACAUAAUUGACUUGAGAUAGUGAGAAAAAUAUGUUUUUUUGGAAGAAAAAAAAAUACAUGUAUGUUUGGAUAAAAAUAAAUAAAUAGACAAAAUAAAAGUAAUGUAAAUAAAAUCAAGUUUAUAUUAGCUGUCCGUGGAUGAGUUUUACAUAAUAUUUUUUACAAGCAGAAUAUUUUUAAGCGGUAAUAAUCAUUUUGAUAUGUGAAUAUGCAAUGAGUAGCAAUAAUAGUCUUUUAAUGUAUCAAAAUUCUAAAAUAGUUUAUGAUUGUGCACUUCGUUGGUUAAAAUAAUCUCUCAAUAUUGAUGACAAUAACUCCUUUUUUAUAAAAUAAUCUCUGAAUAUUGUUGACAAUAACUCUUUUUUUAUAGGGACUUAUAUGAUAACAAGUAAGUACUUAGACAUUAAUUUGAUAGUAAAUAAGUAUAUCAAAUAAUUGGUAUGACAAUAUUAACGGAACAUUUUAACAUGAGUGGUUAUUUUGAUUAACGGAGUGCACAACUAGGGAUGGAAAUAGGCCAGGUCAGACCAGGCUAUGAUAGGCCUGAGCCUGGCCUACGAAAAAAUUUACAAGCCUGAGCCUGGCCUAUGGCCUAUCAUAGGCCAUUUUUCUAGGCCUGACCUGGCCUAUUUGAAAGCCUAGACUGGCCUGAAAGUCUAAUUACAAGCCUACUUAACAUUAAGGCCAUCAAAUAGUUCAUUUGGCCUACUAAAUAGGCUAAACAAGCUUUAAAGCCUACUUAAAAGCUUAUUUCACUAUAAGUAAAUUUUAACUAGAUUAAAGCCUAAUUAAAAGGCUAUAACAACAAAGUCUAUUAAGGGACUAAUACAUAGAGAAAGAAAUGUUUAUAUUUUUAAUGUAUGUAAUUAUUUUAAUAUAUAAAAAAAAACAUUUUUUAAUAAAUAAGUAUUAAUAGGCCGGCCUAUUAGGCUUAACAAGCUUUUCUGAAAGCCUAAGCCUGACCUAUUUAACCAAAUAGGCUUUCUAAAAAGCCUAAGCCUUGGCCUAUCAACUAAACAGGCCAGGCCAAAACAGGUCAGGCCGUAGGCCCCUGUAGGCCGGCCUGGCCUAUUCCCAACCCUAUGCACAACCAAUGACUAUUUUGGAAUUUCGAUACACCCAAGGACUAUUGUAAUUACUUGUUACACAUUCAGAGACUAAAAUAACUAUUAGCACUAUUUUUAAUUGGAGUAUAUGAAAUACUCUGACCCAUUUUUAUCAUCUUUACCUUUAUUUAUUAUUUCUUUCGACUCCUCUAAUAAAUGCGAGCUUCUAUGGGUCACUCACAAUUUGAAGUGUAUUGGAACACUAUUUCAAAAAUCAAUAAACUAACAAUCGUUUUUAUGAAAUAAAGAACUAUUUAUCGACUUUUAUAUUUUAUGAAACAUCAUUUGAUAGAAAAAAAAACAUUUCAUUGUUUUAGAUAAUCAUAUUGAAUAUUGGGCUUAGGCCCUCUUUCAUUUAAAAAAAAUAAUUUUAUUCAGUAUUUUUCAUUUUGUCAUAAAAAAUAAUCACUAUUCAACUAUUUAAAUUCUUCUUAAAAAAAAAACUAAUUAAAUUCAUAAAAAUUAAAUUUUAUAUCGUCGACAUUUUUGAUAAAUACGUUUUAUUAUUGUAAUCAUAAAUGAUAGAAAAUAAUUUAUUAUUUAAAAAAAACACAUUUAGCUAAUAAUUAAAUAUCGGAUGAACUAGUACACUUGAAUUUUCGAGUGUCACAUACCAGUCGUUCCAAUCAUAUUCAUGAAUUAAUUGCUUAUAUGUAGAAGAAAAAAAAAAUGUCGGCAGCUAUCUACAUAGAAUCUUUGGCUACCUACAUAUAUUCUCUUCAUUUUUUACCAAUGCCCAGCAUAAAUUUUAUUGUUAUUUACUCUACAAAAUAAGUAAGACCAUUUAUUCCAUAUAUUGCGUUCUCGAGAAAUUAUUAUUAGCAAUAAUUUCACGAGUAAACUAUUGUUUUACAUUAAAGAGCAGACACAAAACAACAUAGUAUUUUGUUUUAUCUACUAGAUGGAAAACGAAGGUUCAACUCAACGAUUUCAAGGACAAAAGACAACUCUGUAGUUGGUACCACCUGGGCAUGUAUUCGUUUUAACAUCAUUGGGGUGAUGAUAAGCAUCAGGGCAAUUAGAAUCCCUGCAGUUUAAUACUUUGUUGCAUGCAUUAGAGGUUGAACUAAGCUGCAUUGGAAUGUUGAAACCAUCAAUCACAGAUAAAUCAAUGGAGUCCUGAUUGUUGAAACCAUUAAGUGUGAAUUCGGUAAGAGUGAGCGGACUUUUACCGGAUAAGCU
rnacentral:lncRNA from 1 species